CCUACGGGUGGCAGCAGUGGGGAAUAUUGCACAAUGGGGGAAACCCUGAUGCAGCGACGCCGCGUGAGUGAAGAAGGAAUUCGUUAUGUAAAGCUCUAUCAGCAGGGAAGAAAAUGAUGGUACCUGAGUAAGAAGCCCCGGCGAACGACGUGCCAGCAGCCGCGGUAAUACGUAGGGGGCAAGCGUUAUCCGGAUUUACUGGGUGUAAAGGGAGCGUAGACGGCAGGGCAAGUCUGGAGUGAAAGGCGGGGCUCAACUCCGGGACUGCUUUGGAAACGGUUGAACUAGAUUGCAGGAGCGGUCAGUGGAAUUCCUCUUGUAGCGGUGACCUGCGUAGCUAUUAGGCGG
rnacentral:rRNA from 1 species